rnacentral:rRNA from 1 species
UACGGAGGGUGCGAGCGUUGUCCGGAAUCACUGGGCGUAAAGGGCGCGUAGGCGGCGCGGGAAGUCCGUGGUGAAAGCUCGGGGCUCAACUCCGAGUCGGCCGUGCGAACUGGGCUCACUGGAGCAUAGUAGAGGCAGGUGGAAUUCCGGGUGUAGCGGUGGAAUGCGUAGAGAUCCGGAAGAACACCGGUGGCGAAGGCGGCCUGCUGGGCUAUGGCUGACACUGAGGCGCGACAGCGUGGGGAGCAAACAGG